CUUCCUGGGGCAGCCCAUGCCCAAAGACCCAAGAAUCACCAGCAAUUUGCUUCAAAUAAAACUUACUAGAAUUAAAAGAACCUAAAAGAACUAAUAGAACUUAAAUUGAAGACUUUUCUUCCUAGCUCUUUGGAACUUGUUCUUUCUUUCCUCCAACAAGGUGUUGAUCCCAAGGAUGCUCCUGAAUACACAUCUUGUACACUAAAAAGAAGACUCUUGACAGUCCCUUGGACUGCAAGAAGAGCAGACCAGUCAAUCCUAAAGGAAAUCAAUCCUGAAUAUUCAUUGGAAGGACUGAUCCUGCAGCUGAAGCUCCAAUACUUUGGCCACCUGAUGCAAAGAGUGGACUCAUCGGAAAAGAUCCUGAUGCUGGGAAAGAUUGAGGACAGGAGGAGAAGAGGGUGACAGAUGAUGAGAUGGUUGGAUGGCAUCAUCAACUCAAUGGACAUGAGUUUGAGCAAACUCCGGGGGAUAGUAAAGGACAGGGAAGCCUGGUGUGCUGCAGUCCAUGGGGUCACAAAGAGUCAGACACGACUGAGUGACUGAACAACAACAAAACUAAAAAAAGAAGUCUGUCUCAGAAUCUGCUUCUUGGAGAAUCCAACCUGUAGUACAAUUCUUGAAGCCAUGAAACAAUUUUUAAGGUACAUUAGGUAGACAGAUGAUUUCAAUAUUAUAUGAUAAACACUAGGAUAAAUAUGGGCUUCCCUGGUGGUUCAGUGGUAAAUACACCUGCCAGUGCAGGAGACACAGGAGACAUGGAUUUGAUCCCUGGGUUGGGAAGGUCACCUGGAGGAGGAAAUGGCAAUCCAUUCCCAGUGUUCUUGCCUGGGAAAUUCCAUGGAAGAGGAGCCUGGCAGGCUACAGUCCAUAGGGUCACAAAGAGUCAGACAUGACUUAGUGACUAAACAACACCUACACACAAAAGCUAUGGAAAGGAAGGAGGGAAGGGACAGGUAGUUCAACCAAGUGGACUCAAGUCCUACCGGAGAAGAAAAUCUCAAGAUUAUUUAUAAAGGCUAAUUAGGCUGUAACCAAAUAUUGAAGAGGGAACAAAUAUUCCAGAUAGAGAAAGAAAAUGCUAAAAGCAAACAGCAGACAGAUAUCCAAGGAAUCUGGAUACCCAGGCACCCAUGAAGAACCACCAGCAACUUGGAUCUAAUAAAACUAAUAGAACCCAAGAGAACAAACAGAACUUACAUUGUGAACUAGGGAUUAGCAUGAGAUAAAGUUAGAGAGAAAGUAAUUUAAGAGCUUGGUCUUGAUCCAGUAGAUAAUGGAGAUUUUUCUUCCUAGCUCUUUGGAACUUGUUCUAUUCCUUCAACAAGCUUUACAUGUUUGUCCUUCAUGAAACUUACUUUCAUUCAGUAGGAAUGCCUUGAGAAACCUCGUGUCUUAUCAUAAUUCAGAAUCUAGAUAUGAACAUCCAACUCAGCAUCUCCACUCCAAAUGGCCUACAGGAAUCACAAACUCAGUGCGUCCAAAAUUAAGUUCCACCUGACAUUCCAACACCUCAUCUUUCUGAAUUCUCUACCUUGGUGAAUGUUAGCUCUGUCUACCCAGUUGCCCAAACUAGAGUUCUAGGCAUCAGUCUUGAUUUCUUUCUCUUCUUCAUCCUCCUAGUUCAAUUCUUCAA
ensembl:lncRNA